ensembl:lncRNA
UUCUCACGGCAUCUUGAAUUGGAUGGUUAUCCUCAUGGUGAACCAGUCAAUAAAUCGCCUGUCAUCAGAGAAUCCUUGUGCUCGUGAAAUUACUGGGGGGAGCUACAGUGAGAAUUCAUCUGCUCUUCACGGGUAGGAGAAGGAACAUUUCCAAACAGCCAUCAAGUGAGCAUCAAGUUAACUCCAAGUUCCAUCAUUCUGGAUUCUACAAGCAUUGUAUACACUGUUCUCACGGCAUCUUGAAUUGGAUGGUUAUCCUCAUGGUGAACCAGUCAAUAAAUCGCCUGUCAUCAGAGAAUCCUUGUGCUCGUGAAAUUACUGGGGGGAGCUACAAGGUUUAUAAAUCCAACAGCGGGACGGCUCACUGAUGUAACCCAUGCACAGAUGACAGCAUUCAUCAUUCUUAUGAACACUGAUGUGUGUCCACCAGACGGCGCCUGCGCACUGCGAGCAUCCCGUGAAUUUCCCGCGGCUUCAUUAAUCAUCAUCUCUGUGUUAAUUAAUCACCCUCAAUCACUCCACAUGCCCAUGUAGCGAUGAAAAAGAUAGUAUCGAUAUUCUUUACCUUUGCUUUUUAUGUAUAAAUCGUGCUGCUCGCAUAUAUUGCAGUGUUCAGUAUAUGAUAUAAAAAUUGUUAAAUGGCCAGACACUGAAUAGUUUGUGUUUUAAGUCAGUAAACAGGGUUCAGAAAGCUGAUGCACAAACUCACUGUCUCUGUAGUUUGAACCUUUUACCACUGAAAAAGAAAAAAAGUCAUUUUGAAUCAAUUUUCACUCAAAAAUUGUCAAAUAACGCUGAAUUAAACGUGAAAUUGUUAAAAGAUGUAGUCCAAUAAACUUUGUAUUAUUUACCA